CACCUCUCAGUGUCGCACCUGGAGAGUUUCCAGUACUCUACCGGUCUCGACUACGGGAGGGAAAGUCAAAGCAGAGGCAUACCGAUUCCAUUCCUAGCUUGGGCAGUGACCAGCGAGUAGAAGGUAGUCUGCUACAAGU